GUGCUCACUUUGGCAGCACAUAUGCUAAAAUUAGAACAAUAGAAGAUUAGCAUGCCCCUGUGCAAGGAUAACAUGCAAAUUCAUGAAGCAUUCCAUAUUUUA
rnacentral:snRNA from 1 species